rnacentral:rRNA from 1 species
UGGGGAAUAUUGCACAAUGGGCGCAAGCCUGAUGCAGCCAUGCCGCAUGUAUGAAGAAGGCCUUCGGGUUGUAAAGUACUUUCAGCGAGGAGGAAGGCGUUGUGGUUAAUAACCGCAACGAUUGACGUUACUCGCAGAAGAAGCACCGGCUAACUCCGUGCCAGCAGCCGCGGUAAUACGGAGGGUGCAAGCGUUAAUCGGAAUUACUGGGCGUAAAGCGCAAGCAGGCGGUCUGUCAAGUCGGAUGUGAAAUCCCCGGGCUCAACCUGGGAACUGCAUCCGAAACUGGCAGGCUAGAGUCUUGUAGAGGGGGGUAGAAUUCCAGGUGUAGCGGUGAAAUGCGUAGAGAUCUGGAGGAAUACCGGUGGCGAAGGCGGCCCCCUGGACAAAGACUGACGCUCAGGUGCGAAAGCGUGGGGAGCAAACA